UGCAGUGCCUGAAAUCUGUCACAGUGCUUGCUCAGGCUGCUCACCCAGUGUUGCAGCUUUGGCUGGUUUGUUGCUCCAUUUCCCCCUUCCCCUGCAAGAGCCAGUUUCCAUUCAGGAAGACAGUUUAACCCUUGGAGAAAAGUUGCUGAUUCUCCCUUCUGUUGCCCUUCCCAGAAUGACAUAAGUGGAUAUAAGAUAUCACCGUGUCAGAACUGAGACCAGUUGCUGCAGGCUGUUCCCCUUUCAACCUGGCUUCAUACCAAAUCACCAAUUCUAGAUCUGGCCAGAGAUCUCAGUUUUCCUCCCCUCCUCCUCCCCUCCAAGCCAGUAAUGGAUCUUUGAAAGGUAGCUAAAGGGAUGAGAAGUGGCUUUGCAAGGAGUGUGGUGUCCAGCUGAGCCGCUGCUUGUCACGGCCAAAGGCGCAGGGCCAUGUUUGCAGAUGCACUGUGCUGUUUGUCCCGUUGCCUGGAGGCUGCUGUGAUAUGUUUAUCCUCUUCCCGAGCUGUAGGAACUGCUGUUCCCUCAUGCUGCUAAGUUCAGGCUGAAUUCAAGGAGCUGGGACACUCAUCUGUGAUUCCUGGAUUUCAUGAGGCCAGAAGAGUGUUCACCUGAAUGGGCUCUGGGCACUGGGGAGCUGCCAAAAAGAGGUUUGCUGUGGAUGAGGGAACAGAAUGAAUGGGUUAGAGGAGCAUCUCUCAGUAUGGACAGGCUGCAGAGUGCACAUGAGUCCUCAGGGUAAUGCAUGUGCACUUGUCUGCAUCCACUGAACAUAAAAAGCAUUUAUUUCACAGGCCAGAAAUGGGCAUGUCCAGCCUUGAAUGAGCUCUGGGGUGAAAAGUGCCAUAGAAACAUCAUCCUGUCAUGCUCAGCCCAAUAAAACUUGGCACUGUGGCUGGGAGGUGUCGGGUACCGCUCUAUUAACCGUGUCUGUAAUUCCAGCGCGUUCCGUGUGUCUGUGUGCCCUCUGCUGGGCUGGGCUAUGAAUCGGGAUGGCUCCCUUCAGAUGAUGGCUUGGGAAGUCUCUGGGGGACAAAGCCGUGGGACCAGGGUGGGGAACUGCCAAUGACCUCAUUUCAUGUGGCCUUGCAGCCACAUGCUUUUUGUUUUUUCUUUUGGGUUUCCAUGCUCUUCUCAGAUGACAUUUAGGUCCAUGCAUGACCUGCCAAAGGUGUCUGAAAAGUCUGCUGUUGCCUCAGCAAGGAGUCUGUGCUCUCCCUGCCCACCCGUGUCCUAGGGAAGAUUGUUUGCAGGAGGCAGCAGUGGAAGGUGAAGGGAUGUCUGCAUGGCAUCACCUCCCUUCCCUCCUCCUGCAGGGUCUCUGGUUACUCCAGAGAGCUUCCCCACGCUGAAAUUUUUCCCAGAGUUUUUGACAUCUUGCAAAACAGUGUAAGACAUGAAAGUGUUCAGCUUUGUCUGGGGAGGUCCCUGGACUAGCUCACUGGAAGAAUGUCAUCCUUCUUCGGCUGUUGCUGGCUGCCUUGACAUCACUUUUGUACAUCCUUGACAUUGGUUUUGUACAUCUGUGUAGCUGGAGUGACAUUAUCCACUUCCAGAGGUGAACAGUGAGGUCCCAGCAGGGCUGUGGGUGUGUAUGGAACCAUCAGCAGACGCCACCAGCCCCUUCCCACGAGCUAAACUGAGACAGAAACUCCUUCACCCGACUGACGGUGAUCGCCAGGACCGUUUUUGUUGAAACCAACCCGCGCAAAUCCCUCUCCUAGUUUAGCCUGAGACAUGCUCCUCCUGCCGCUGCAGGACGGGCGGUUUGUAGGGAGAAGCUCCCCUCUAGUGGGGGAUCCCCGCAGCGCCAGCGGCCGGAGUGUGGUCCCCGCUCCCGGAGAGAGGAGUGACUGGAAAACCUGGCGGAAAGGACCCGAGGAUGCUGGUCGACAGCGGCUGAACAUGAGCACAGGUGUGCCCAGGUGGGCACGAAGGCCACCUUGGCACACACGCAUCUUGGCGUGUAUCAACAAUAGUGUGGCCAGCAGGACCAGGGCAGUGAUUGUCCCUCUGUGCUGGGCACUGCUGAGGCCACACCUCGAGUGCUGUGUCCAGUUCUGGGCUCUUCAUGGCAAGAAAGGGGGUUGGAGCGUGUCUGGGGAAGGGCAACAGAGCUGGGGAAGGGUCUGGAGAGUCAGUCAUGUGAGGAGCAGCUGAGGGAGCUGGAGGGGCUCAGCCUGGAGAAAAGGAGCUCAAGAGGGACCUUCUUGCUCUCUAAAACGCCCUGACAAGAGGGUGGAGCCAGGUGGGGGUCAGGCUCUGCUCUCUGGGAAAAAGAGAGAGCACAAAAGGAAAUGGUCUCAAGCUGUGCUAGGAGAGAUUCAUGUUGGAGAUCAGGAAGAAUUUCUUCAAAGAAAGCAUUGUCAGGCAUUGGAAUGGGCUGCCCAGUGAGGUGGUGGAGUCCCCACCUGUUCAAGGAACGACUGGAUGUGGCACUCAGUGCUCUGGUCUGUUUGACAAGGUGGGGAUCAGUCAGAGGUUGGACUUGAUGACCUUGGAGGUCUUUUCUAACCUAAAUGAUUCUGCGAUUCUGUGAAAUUCAAAGCAGAAGCAUUUACUGCAUGUCUCUGCUGAACCAGCACGAGGGGGUUCAUAACUGAUUAAAUUGCCUGUAACAAGAAUAGAGGUCAUGAUGCAAUUGAGCCAUCCAGCCCUUAUAACUGUGUUUUCAGAGCAUUUCUUAGCAAUAAGUGUCUGUUUAAUUGCCACAGCAUCCUGAGGGGAGAAUUCAGUAUUGUUGUUAUCUGCUUUUUACGGAGAGAGAGAAUGCUGGAAAAACAGGGGAAGGACCUGGCCUGCUGAAGUCAUCCAAGGUCAGGAUUCAAGUGAUGCUGGAGGGAACCUCGCUUGAAUCAAGUGUGCUAAUCUGUCACAUCACUAAGAUGUUCUUCCCAGAGAGAACCAAGUUUUGUCAUUUUGCAAGUGGCCCUUAACUGAAAAAUGUAAAGUUGAUGAAAUUGCUGCAAAACCAGCUAAACAUUAUUGCUAUUUACUGCAUUUGUCAGUUUCAGACAGGAAAAUAUGUGUUUUUGAGGAUCACACUGACAGAACCAACUAUAUCACUGCAUUAAUGAGGGCCUGAUUCUUACUACCAGACACUGCUCCAUCCAGGGUGUCUUCUGCACCCGUGUGUCUGCAUGUUUUCCAAGCAUCUCUCCAGCAAUGCAAGGGGACAGGCAAUCUCAAGGGCUUCUCCAUAACCACCUGCCAGUGCACAGCCACCUGAGGACUGGCCAUACAACUGCUGUGUGCUGGCAGGGCUGGGCUGAGCCCAGAUGUGCCCCAGGCAAUCUCCCUAGUGCUCUGCCUGUGUAAGGGCUGCUCUCAUUUCUGUGUUUUCUGUAUUGAGUUAUUCUUCCAGGGCUCUCAGAGUGAGGGCUUUUGGGGAGAGGAGAGGAAUGCAAAGGGCAUGUUUUUGUACUCACUGAGGUAAUUCACUGCUUUGUUGCUGGGGGAUGUGGCCUCAUGUAACCUCUCUCUGGUGUCUGUACCUAGAGCAGUGCUCAGCUUUGAAGUUAAGGCUGACAUCCUCUUACUACUUCUGCAGAUGUGAGGCCUAUCUGACCCUGACUGGACCUUCUACCUCUGCAGAAAUGAUCAAGGGUGUGUACAUAGGGCUGGACUCCAAAGCAAUAUGUUUCUCCUCAUUUCUUGCUGGGAAAACUGCACCAUGGAGCUGUGUGGCUGGCUCAUCAUGCAGAUGCUGUGUCCCUAGAGCUGAGGUGUGGGAGUUUAAGGGAGCUGAUGCUUUCUUUGCUGAAGGGGUUUGGUUCCAGGCCAAUAACACAUGCUAAGGGUUAGCCCUGCCUGACAGCUGCUUGGUGGUCUUGGCAUGGAGUGAGUUGGUGAACCUCAGUUUGGUUCCCAGCAGAGACAGAUGUUUGUGUUUUAAAGGAAUCCUUACUAUGGUCAUUGCUAGCCAGACUUCAUGGAAGAAUAAAGAAGUCUUUCUUCGAGUCACGAUC